UCUCCGUUGGUGAACCAGCGGAGGGAUCAUUACCGAGUUUACAACUCCCAAACCCCUAUGUGAACGUUACCAAACUGUUGCCUCGGCGGGAAAUUCAUGCCCCGGGCGCGUCGCAGCCCCGGACCAAGGCGCCCGCCGGAGGACCAACCAAAACUCUUUUGUAUGUCCCUCGCGGACUUUUAUAAUUCUGAACCAUCUCGGCGCCCCUAGCGGGCGUUUCGAAAAUGAAUCAAAACUUUCAACAACGGAUCUCUUGGCUCUC
rnacentral:misc_RNA from 1 species